rnacentral:lncRNA from 1 species
AAAAAGAAAAAAAGAUGUGGGUGAGAUGUCCACUCUUUUUUUUCUAGAUGUCCACUCUUGGUCAGUCAGCUUUGGGCAAGCAGAAUGAAGUCAGACCAUCCAGCCUGUGAAGAGGGUGGGUUCUUUCAGAAGUGGGUAUGGCUAGGAAACAAAUCCAAUGAACAAGAAGAAUUCCAGUACCAUCUUGAAGGAGACUCAUCUUGAGUGGUCAAAGGGCAGAGAUGGAUCAAAACCAAGACCAGGAUCACAAAUAGCUCUGUGGCCCUAUGGACAUCUGAUUGGGUGUUGCUGGAUAGUUUGUGCUCUGAGAAAUGAGAAGUUUUCAGUUAAUGAUGGUCUGGCACUCCUAGCUGGGGAUCCCUCUUGCCUGGUGGAGAUCACCUAGUCCCACUGUGGCCACACUCCAUGGGUACCCUACUACAAGGAGAAGAAGCAGUGGCUCAUAAUGUGAAUCCAGUCUACUAAAUCCAUACCCUGAAUCUGUCCCCCGAUGGCCAUGAGAUGUGAGGCUCAUUACUCAGCCCCUGUAUAAAAUCUUGUUUCCUUGACUGUAUUUUGGAGACAAUCAUGGUACCCCUCUAAAUGAUUAAGACAGAUCCAUAGGUGGGCUGUUCUGUACAAUACCCAGACCUAGCAAGCCUUCACUCAUCUGGGGACUGCUGUUAUAAUCUAUGACGUAGAAACAAAAUGGAACAAAGAAGUGACUCACGUUGGUGAA